UGAGCUGUGUGUCUGUGGAACCAGCUGCUGACUUCACUGAGUGUGUGCCCUUCCUCUGGAAAGCUUCAUUCUCUCCAGCAAGGGACUUCCUUUUUGUUCCUCUCAUAUCCUGAUUCUGGGUCUUUUCACUUGCUGUUACGAAAUAUGUAAGAACAGUGUCAAUUACUCUAUGUUGAAGGAGUGGUGGGAGAGAAAAAUCGUUAUUCUAGAACCAUCUAAAUAAUUAGUAAGUGAUCCAGACAAGAAGGAUCAGAUGUGGAAGCCAAUGAAUGAAAGAUUCUUGGGAAGUAAACUCUUUUUAGAGUGUCACCCUUUGCACUAUUUGAUUGUGCAGUGGGAUUAUCUUCAACUAGGGAUCAGAUAUCAACUAGUGGAGCAAAUGAUGUGUACUCAUAGAUUCAUAAUCUGCCUGUCAUUGAGUCAGUACUCCAUCCGAGAGUAUUUAACCUGAAUUGAAUUAUAAAUAAACUGCUGGACAAGUCCAAAAUGAGGCUGGGGAAACAGUUUUGUGUGUGUGUGUGUGUGUGUGUGUACGUAAGGGAGUCUAAAGAAAUGUGACAUAUUAAUGCAGAAUAUGAUCUCCGAUUGCAUGCUGGAGGAGAGACACAGCUGUAAAGGACAUUUAUGGAGUAAUUUGAAAAUUGACUUCAUAUUAACAGCGUUCCAUCAGCAUUAAAUUUCCUGAGUGUUAUAAGUUUGCACAUGUAAGAGAUUGUCUGUUGAUUUAAGGAGAUUAUUAUUGAAGUAAUUGUGAUUCAGUUGCCCUGAUAGUUGCUGCCAGCUUUCAAGUGAUAUAUGUAUAUAUGAAGGGACUAGAAAAUU